rnacentral:rRNA from 1 species
CCCUUAGAUGUCCUGGGCCGCACGCGUGCUACACUGACGCAUACAGCGAGCACUUUCCAGUUCCGAGAGGCUACUGGUAAUCAUCAAUAUGCGUCGUGAUGGGGAUAGAUCUUUGGAAUUCUGGAUCUUGAACGAGGAAUGCCUAGUAAUCGCAAGUCAUUAGCCUGCGAUGAUUAAGUCCCUGCCCUUUGUACACACCGCCCGUCGCUACUACCGAUUUCGAGUGGUCAGGUGAAUCUUUCGGACUGUGGGCGCCCUUGAGGUGUUCGCGGAAAGUCAGGUAAAUCUUAUCACUUAGAGGAAGUAAAAGUCGUAACA